rnacentral:lncRNA from 1 species
AUCAAAACUCUGACAAGUUGGACCUACAUGCAAUAGGUUCCAAAUAUGGCAAGGUUACAUCUGGGGCACUACAAACUCUCCCACACUACAAAGAAGAUCUCGCCCUCGAGAUAUAAAACUGAAAGAAAUCGGGAAAUUCGGAAUGGAGGUGAUCCUCGCGUUCCCACGUAGCCUCUUUAUCGGAAUGGUGAGACCACUGCACUUUGAGAAACUUGAGAGUCUUGUUACGGGUCUUGCGCUCAGUCGCCUCGAGAACCACAACUGGAUGCUCACGAUAAGAAAGGUCAGGCUGAAGGUCGAUAUCUAGAAGAUGCACAGUGCGCUCGGGGGUCUUGAAACACCUCCGAAGCUGAGAAACAUGGAACGCAUCAUGGACAUUUGCAAAGGUUGACGGAAGCUCGAGC